UACGUAGGGUGCGAGCGUUAAUCGGAAUUACUGGGCGUAAAGCGUGCGCAGGCGGUUUUGUGAGCCAGAUGUGAAAGCCCCGGGCUUAACCUGGGAAUGGCAUUUGGGACUGCAAGGCUGGAGUGUGGCAGAGGAGACUGGAAUUCCUGGUGUAGCAGUGAAAUGCGUAGAUAUCAGGAGGAACACCAAUAGCGAAGGCAGCUCGCUGGGACGGUACUGACGCUAAGGCGCGAAAGCGUGGGGAGCGAACAGG
rnacentral:rRNA from 1 species